UUACGGCCAUAUCUCGUUGAAACACCAAUUCUCGUACGAUGGCCGAAGUUAAGCAACGUAGAGCCUGGUCAGUAGCUAGAUGGGUGACCGAUUCCUAAUACCAGGUGGUGUAA